AGGAUCACUUUCACCAAAACAGGGAUACCCUUUCUUCAGCUUGGAUGGGGUGGACCACUGGUUCCUCCCCUUAUCUGUAUUAUGGCUACAGGAAGGUGAACAAGCAGA